rnacentral:rRNA from 1 species
AACGAACGCUGGCGGCAGGCUUAACACAUGCAAGUCGAGCGCCUCGCAAGAGGAGCGGCAGACGGGUGAGUAACGCGUGGGAAUCUACCGUGCCCUAAGGAAUAGCUCCGGGAAACUGGAAUUAAUACCUUAUACGCCCUUCGGGGGAAAGAUUUAUCGGGGUAUGAUGAGCCCGCGUUGGAUUAGCUAGUUGGUGGGGUAAAGGCCUACCAAGGCGACGAUCCAUAGCUGGUCUGAGAGGAUGAUCAGCCACAUUGGGACUGAGACACGGCCCAAACUCCUACGGGAGGCAGCAGUGGGGAAUAUUGGACAAUGGGCGCAAGCCUGAUCCAGCCAUGCCGCGUGAGUGAUGAAGGCCCUAGGGUUGUAAAGCUCUUUCACCGGUGAAGAUAAUGACGGUAACCGGAGAAGAAGCCCCGGCUAACUUCGUGCCAGCCGCCGCCGUAAGAC